rnacentral:rRNA from 1 species
AUUGAACGCUGGCGGCAGGCCUAACACAUGCAAGUCGAGCGGAUGAAGGGAGCUUGCUCCUGGAUUCAGCGGCGGACGGGUGAGUAAUGCCUAGGAAUCUGCCUGGUAGUGGGGGAUAACGUCCGGAAACGGGCGCUAAUACCGCAUACGUCCUGAGGGAGAAAGUGGGGGAUCUUCGGACCUCACGCUAUCAGAUGAGCCUAGGUCGGAUUAGCUAGUUGGUGGGGUAAAGGCCUACGAAGGCGACGAUCCGUAACUGGUCUGAGAGGAUGAUCAGUCACACUGGAACUGAGACACGGUCCAGACUCCUACGGGAGGCGGCAGUGGGGAAUAUUGGACAAUGGGCGAAAGCCUGAUCCAGCCAUGCCGCGUGUGUGAAGAAGGUCUUCGGAUUGUAAAGCACUUUAAGUUGGGAGGAAGGGCAGUAAGUUAAUACCUUGCUGUUUUGACGUUACCAACAGAAUAAGCACCGGCUAACUUCGUG